rnacentral:tRNA from 1 species
GGAGACGUGGCCGAGUGGUCGAAGGCACACCCCCUGCUAAGGGUGCAUCUGGGCAAAACCUGGAUCCAGGGUUCGAAUCCCUGCGUCUCCGCCA